rnacentral:rRNA from 1 species
UACGUAGGAGGCGAGCGUUGUCCGGAAUCACUGGGUGUAAAGCGCGUGUAGGCGGCCUGCCAAGUCUGCUGUGAAAGCGCCUGGCUUAACCGGGCGAGGUCGGUGGAAACUGGCGGGCUGGAGGACGGUAGAGGGGGGUGGAAUUCCCGGUGUAGUGGUGAAAUGCGUAGAGAUCGGGAGGAACACCAGCGGCGAAGGCGGCCCCCUGGGCCGCUCCUGACGCUGAGACGCGAAGGCCAGGGUAGCGAACGGG